rnacentral:rRNA from 1 species
AACGAACGCUGGCGGCAUGCCUAACACAUGCAAGUCGAACGAGACCUUCGGGUCUAGUGGCGCACGGGUGCGUAACGCGUGGGAACCUGCCCUUAGGUUCGGAAUACCUCCCCGACAGGGGUGCUAAUACCGGAUAAUGUCUUCGGACCAAAGAUUUAUUGCCUUUGGAUGGGCCCGCGUUGGAUUCGCUAGUUGGUAGGGUAAAAGACUACCAAGGCGACGAUCCAUAGCUGGUCUGAGAGGAUGAUCAGCCACACUGGGACUGAGACACGGCCCAGACUCCUACGGGAGGCAGGAGUGGGGAAUAUUGGAAAAUGGGCGAAGGCCUGAUCCAGCAAUGCCGCGUGAGUGAUGAAGGCCUUAGGGUUGUAAAGCUCUUUUACCCGGGAUGAUAAUGACAGUACCGGGAGAAUAAGCCCCGGCUAACUCCGUG